UUCUAUCUCCCAGCAGAGAUGGAUUUUACAAACAGAAGCAAACACUACGCAUAACAGCCACUAUCAGUCUAUCACCAUGGCCCUCUGUCUCUCUCUCCAUAUCGGCGAGCUCCAUAAAAUCUAUAUUUUACUUCGUAUUCUACUUUUCAUUCCAUCUCUCAACAAUACUGCUUAAUUCUAUCUCCCCAAAGAUAUCUUAGUCGCAAUCAACUACAGGGCCAACUAAAUGACAUGUUUGGAUCGCUUUCAGCUCUCUCUACUUUGUAAGAUUGCUCCUGUCCAGUUUCAUACAUGUUAGUGUUCUUUUGUUAAGAUUUUUUUUGAUGAAUUUACUUUAUUGUAAAUUUGAGUUUUGUUUAUUCAUUCAUACCGGGAACCGAAAGUGCAGCAUACUGGCCACCUUUCUCUCAUGAAAUUUGCUUUGUGUUGAUCUACAUUGCAAGGACAUUUCAAUUUCUCACUUGCCAGGAGUUAAAUUUUUGCUUUGCUUUGCUUGACACAAUGACAUAUGUAAUCUUCCUUGGAACCAGGGUAUUUGCAAAACAACCAGUUUACAGGCUCUAUUGAUGUCCUUUCUAAUCUUCUCCUGCAUAAUUUGAAUAUUGGAAAUAACCAUUUUCGCGGUUGGAUUCCUGAAAGAUUAAAAAACAUAAAUAUUCAGAGAGAGGGCAACUCAUGGAGUUCCGGUCCUGCACCACCUCCUCUACCUGGAACUCCUCCAUCCAGAAGUAGCAACCGAAAUAGAAAACAAAAUGACAAUAAAAACUCAUCAGAUGGUGGUGGAAGCAAGAAAUCAGGUAUAGGCGGUGGUGGUGUGGCAGGAAUUGUGAUAUCCAUUUUAGUUGUUGGAGCCGUGGUUGCAUUCUUUGUAGUGAAGAAAAGGUCCAAAAGAUCAUCUGCAGAUGUAGAGAAAUCUGAUAGUCAGCCUUUCACUUCUUACGCUUCACAAGAAGUCCAAGGUACCAAUCUUCUCCAUCCAAUAUAAAAGACUUGCUUAACAUCUUUUUUCAACUAGUCUUAUCCUUUUUCUCAGAAUCCCACCUCCGACAAUCAUAGACCUGAAAUUACACUCUUAAGAUAUGACAUCAAUAAUAGAAGACCGCUAUAUAUAUUUCAGCUAUAUAGGUAGUCAUAUUUAGGUAUUACCAUUAGUUUAGUUUAUCACUGUUGACUGCCUGAGGACUGUUCUGUUUAGUUUGCAUAUCAGGAUAUGUCCUGUUCUUUUGUUAUUGUAAUAUGUAUUGUAUUGGAUUCUGAAUUCUAUUUUGCAUACCAGUCUGCCACUGUGAUUUCAGUUUGAUUUAUAUCUAACUGCUAGACUUUGAUUCAGUUUCUUUUCUAUUUAACUGAUAUGCUUUGAUCUUGAAGAUUUCUAUUAACUGCUUGACUGUCCUGGAUUUCAAGUCUGCCACUGUGCUUGACUGUCCUGGCUUGGCUUAUAUUCAAAAUUCUAUUUAACAGCCUGGGGACUAUUCUGAUGCUUUUUUAUCUUUAGUUUAUAGGUUAGCCUUCCUUGUCUUCUGCAGAUUCUGGAUCGAAUCUUGAAUUCCAGCAAAUGCUACCAGAAAUUCUGCCGCAUCACCAAGCCUUCAGACCUGGAAAUUUUGAUCUGGAUAGGAGAGGUAUGUAGAACGUACGUAAUCAUACAUUAGCCAGUAAGUUGAUUUUGUCGAUGCCAUCUUAGCUCAAAUUACACUUGUAGUUGCCCAGAAGUGUGAUUUUUCUAAACUUUAUGCAUAUGAAUCUAUCUGAUAUUUCUGGACUUACAUGACACUACAUGAAUGAGAAUCCUGUGUGAGAGUAGUUUACUUUUAAAAUUAGACCAAAGAACUAGAAAGUUUUGAUUUCUUAUAAAAAAAUACUUACCCUGAAAUAUUGUAUUAGUCCUUCCACUUUGUUUUUCACAAUUUUUUCGGGAUUUGUGUUAAGUUCACUUUGUUAGUCCGGAUGGUAAACAUAUUGCUGUUGCUCUUCUGGAUUGUACUGUGAAGGCUAGAUUUUCUUUUUGUUCAGAAUGUUCUUUGCUUCUUUUCCUUCACUUUUGUAAUCUGUUUUUUGCUUGCCACCUUGUUUAACUAAAAUAUUUGAGUUUGGUCUGAUGUAUCUUCUAUUACAGGCUGCAGAAGAUUACCAGAAAUCCUUGAGUAGGAAUAACAGCCGCAAAUGGAUUGUACAGGCAUGUACUUGUGGUAGAUUAAUUUGCUAGCAUAGGACACAGUGUCAUAGUCAGGGAAGGCUUUCUUUUGGGAUGUAAAAAAAGAUUUUUUCCAACAAAAAUAUUAAUUUGCCAACAUCUUUUAUUAUUUGGUUUUAAAACCGAAACCAAACCAUUUCAAACCGAAACCGAAUUAAGAAAACCAAACCGCACCAAUAUUAUUUGGUUUGGUUUUGGUUUUUGAUCUUGCCUUUAGACCUUCAAGUUAAGCUUGCAUUGUUGUUUUCUAUUGAUAUUUUAAUAUUUUGGUUAUAAUUGUGUUGUUAGCACAUUGUCUUUUUCUUUAUAUAUACGAGAAAUGCUAAAAUACUUUGAAUAACUCUCCACAGUUGCAACUGGAGUAUAGGCACGUAUACAGGCAUGUAUACGUUAGGUUGUUGAAUCCGCAGUAUUGUGAAAUAUUUCUCCGCUUUUAUACUUGGUAAAUGGUAGUGAAAUGUGAAAAAUGCCUAACUAUAGCAUGCUUUUACAGUUAAAAUUGUUUGAUUUGAAUUGUGAAAUUUGCUUUUUAAUUUUUCAGCCAUAAAAGAAUUUAAAUUGGGGAACAAAAUAGACUUUUAAUUUUCCCUCAAAAAGUUUGUGAACUAUAAGAUUCUUUUUUAUUAGGGUAGUGAAAGACCACAAAUUGUUUCUGUAUAUGCACAAAGUAUGUAAAGAAUAUUGAAAUUUUAUUUUUUUGCUAAUUUAUAGAGCAUAUCUAAGUUACUUUGAAGUUUAUGCGAUCUUGGGUGUUCUUCUAUAAAGCUUUUGUUUUAUUAAGAAGCUGGAGAAAAAAGACUAAAUUGGAGUUGAGGAGCAACAGGAAUGACAAAUAUUGAUUUGUUGAUAUCAAAAAGUUUGAUUAUGCUUAGCAAAAAAUGAGGUGUGAUUAUGAUAUAACUAUUAUUUCUGGUUGAAUCAGUCUAAUCCUUGGAAUAAUUAGUUCUCUAUUAAGUAAUUAGCAUUUAAUCAUUUGUGCUUAUGGAAAUUCCGAUUAUCCAGAAUAAGCACCAGUAGUUUGAAUGGAUUGCUGCUUUUACUUUUUGUUCAGAUUGGGAGAGUGGUCAAUUUUAGUUUAAGGUAUCGUCAGCCAGCUAAUGGCAUUUUAAAGCCCUAGGUCAUUUUGUCAUCCGCGAUGGAGAAUAUACUUCUGCGUUUUAGUAUUAUCUGUUAUUCUUUGUUUUACAAUCUUACUUUUUUGAUGGCACAUUAUGUCUUCAAAUGGAACAUUAUGUCUUCAAGCGCCGCAACGAUGGUACUUUUUACAUCACAUUUUUUUCCACUUUCUUAUAGCUGAUAUAUGAAUUUUGCCCUAGGUUAAUUUUGAACAAUCACUUCAACUGUUAACCAUCUCGGUACCAUAAAUGAAGUGAUUGUUUUUAUAAUAUAUAAUUUUGAACAAUCACUUCAACUGUUAGUACAUAUUCCUGACCUAGAGAGUUUAAUUCAUGUGCAUGUGCUAUAAUUUUGUAGUUUUGUAAAUGCAGUUUGAUAUGUUGAUUUUCAGGUUCUUGUGGGAUGCCUCAAGGGAGUUCUGUAUAUUCUUACGAGGUGUCUGCAAAUGGUUUAAGGGAGUCUCCUAAUGGAAAUGAGGUUUUUAAUAAGACAACAGUGUUCCUGUUUUGGCAAGUAAUCAUGUUCCAUCGAACAUGUCAUUCUCUCCACGGACCCCUCCAGUCCAAUAGCUAAUAUAUCACAUAAGACCAAGCUAUGCUCACCUUUGACAGCUUCUGGGACAAAGAAGGGUGCUUUAAAACAUACUUAUAAUACAAAGCCUCCCCUGAACAAUAUUGGCCGCACAAAGUGUCCUUCAGUUGAAGGCACUAUUGAGAAAAAGGUCGCUGCUUCAAAAAGUGUGAAGAAGGCAUUUGCUCAUGAAUUACAUUGUCCUGACACAACUGAGGCAUCUAUCCCCUCAACAGGCCUGAAUGCCCCAUUUAGAGACUCCUCUAUAUUUAGGAAUCAGAACAAUAUUCCAAGAAGAACACUGGAUUUCAGUUCGAGUCCAGUUGAAGAUAGUUCCACAACCAAUUAUAAUGACAUAGUUUGGGCUCCCAAGUUGCUGCAGCCUUGCAGGUGGUGAUGGUAUAUAGCUUGGCGUGGGAUGAUUUACACCAUUUGGGUGCCUCAGAUUAAGAUACUAAAUCAUGAGUCCGUCAGUGAAUUGUUGAAUUCGUCAAGUUUUAAUUCAGUGGUAAAGGCAAUACAGUUUGGAAAAGCGCUUAUAUUGUUGCCAUGGGUGUAUGAUCAAGGAAUUAUUGCUAAGCACCUAAUAAGGAGAAGAAGUUGGGUUUUCAGAUUCCGAGAAAUGAGUCAGACGGUGGGUUUAGAGUUUUUUUUUUGUUGUUUUUUUACAGAAUGUGUAGUUAGUUGAAUACCAAUUUUUUUUCUCUGCUCAGGAUAGGACAUGAUAUCUUAGUGUAUUACAGAAAAAAGGUCCAGGCUUGCGGUGUUAAUAGACCAUAUUACAGAGUUCAGUUUUAAGUUACUGAUGGUUAUGAAUACAGGCAUGCAUAGUAUACUGUUCUAAUCACCAACUAUGUAGUCCAAAAUUACAUCGGAAGGUGAUUUUUUGAUCACCUUGCAAUGUAAUUUGAUUGUUCAAACAAGUAUUUAGUGCCACCUAGGCAC